AUUGAACGCUGGCGGAAUGCUUUACACAUGCAAGUCGAACGGCAGCACGGGGCAACCUGGUGGCGAGUGGCGAACGGGUGAGUAAUACAUCGGAACGUGCCCAAUCGUGGGGGAUAACGUAGCGAAAGUUACGCUAAUACCGCAUACGAUCUACGGAUGAAAGCGGGGGAUCGCAAGACCUCGCGCGAAUGGAGCGGCCGAUGUCAGAUUAGGUAGUUGGUGGGGUAAAGGCUCACCAAGCCGACGAUCUGUAGCUGGUCUGAGAGGACGACCAGCCACACUGGGACUGAGACACGGCCCAGACUCCUACGGGAGGCAGCAGUGGGAAUUUUGGACAAUGGGCGCAAGCCUGAUCCAGCCAUUCCGCGUGCAGG
rnacentral:rRNA from 1 species